rnacentral:lncRNA from 1 species
CAGCCAGUGGUGAAUUAGCAGAUGAACGCACCCAAGCACUGCCGGGCUCUCAGAUACAGAUGGCUCCCACGGGAAGUGUGACACAGGAGCACAGACAUGAAUGUGCACGUGGGCAGAGAUACACACACAUGCCCAGAGGGCGUGAGUCACAGAGAAGAGGCAGAGGGCCAUGGCGAGCUCCACGCUGACAACCCCAGCCCUGGCUACAUUCUUAGAUGCCCAACUUCAGUAGCACCUGGUACCAGGUACCUGCUUGGUUUGGCCACCCUGGAGCUUCUGGAAAGGUGAAUGGAUGUCAUCUUCAACUCGAGCACUUUAAGGAAACAGGUGGGGAGAAGUGGCUGGCUAGGAGUCAGAGCUGGGAUUUGAACCCAGGAAUAUCACAGCACAAUCUGCUGUGUGAUAGGCCCCUUCCUCUCUCCUGGACUCAGCUUUCUCAUCUGUUGAAUGGGAAUGCUAACUCUGGAACCUCGAAGAUCCAAGUUGGGACUUCUUGCUGCCCGGAGGCCAGGUCCCCACCCAGAAGCCUAGAACAUCUCUGUGGGCCUGGGCAGGAGAGAAGGGCAGGUGUAGACAUGACUGCUCCGCAGGUGGGUGGGGGAUGGGGGCGCUGCCGGCAGGCACGCAAAAACAACUAAAUAAAUCAGGACCGGGGGACUCCUAAUCCUUCCCGGCUGUGGCUGCUACCGCUCACGCGGCCGGGUCCGCCAUCGCCUGGCUGGCUCCCCGGGCAUGGGAGGGGGACAUGGCACGGCCAAGAGUGCAGAGUCGGGCCAACAGGAUCGGAGCGAUGCCCAGCGGUCAAGGCGGCCUCGGCUCUCGAGACUGGGAAGGCCCUGCCGGCAGGGUGACUCAGGCCUCCCAGACCCCCUCCUGCGUAGGCACGCUCCCUGGCCUCGAUCUAUUUUUAGAGCCUGAGCGUCGAGGGGCGGCGGGGGGAGGUUCAUGGGGGUGCAGGCGCCUGACCAGCUUCUCCAGCUCAGGACUUAAGCCCCAGGACCUCUAGCUGUCUGUCUAGCAAAGAACGGAAACACUUGGGGUGUAGGGG